GUAUAUGUGUGCAGGCAUGUAUAUGAAUGUUAUCAUGCAUGUGCCUGUGUCCGUGCAUGUCAGUCUGCAGUUUAUUAGAAAUAACUGUAGUACAGUAGUAUAUCUAAUGCAAAAGAAGAUGCAAAUCUUGAAAUAGCCUAUGUUCACUUCUAGAUUGAACUGGUUGAUAGCCUCUUCAUGGAAAAGUACAAGUUGUGUGGAUAUGAUGGUGUGAGUAACUGGAAAAAGGUGAAAGAGCACAAUCUCCUCAAAUGAAAAUAAGCUUGAGAUUGACAAUGAUAUUUCAUUACAGCAAUGGACAUUGUCAGACAAUGAAAAGCUUCUAUUUGUUAUCAAUGACAACUCUAACCACUGGACACUUAUGGUUGGUGAACCCAAGAAGAAAACUAUGAUGUACUAUGACUCAUUGGGUGGCAAUGGAAAAUCGUACUUUGAAAUUAUACAGUAUGGAGUAACACAUGACUCAAUAUAACCCAUUUACUCAAUGUAGAGAAAAUAUAAUCUCUUCUAAUAUUCCAGUUGUAACUUGACAUUUGUAACAUAGCAGAAAUCUACGUUUCUUAGAUUGUUACACCAUGAUGCAAUAGUUACAUAUUGCUUGUGAACAAUAGGAACUUCCUAAUGAAGCGCUUUGAGAGCUAUGGUUGGAGUCAUCAAGUAGCUGAAGUAAGUUAUUUGAAAGACGAUCGCUAAAGUACAUGACUACAACAGCACUUUUACAAUUUAAAUCCCAUAAGCAGCUAAUAAAGUAGAAGUUAGUAAGUUAUGUGUCAAUUACCAUACUACCAGUUAAAGCUAAUCUACACGAAGAGACAAUUAGUAGUAAGGUCAUGUCAUGUAAGAAAUUUGUUAGCUGAGCCGGUCACGAUAAAAUAAUAGUAUUAUGUCACCACCAUCACACACUUUAUCUAUUAUCUAGAAUAUUCCACAUCAAUUCAAUGGUUACGAUUGUGGCGUAUUUCUUUGUGAAUAUGCUCGCUGUGUAAUGCUGCAAAAACCAAUGGAUUUUUCUCAGGACUCCAUGCCUCAUAUCAGAAAGAGGAUAACAGCAGAAUUAGAGUCAGGUACUUUGCUGUUUGAUAAAGUAACAACCACUGCACACAACACAGUCAGUAUGAAGUCAGAGAUAGAGUCAGAGGUAGAUGAAGAAGGCGAUGAUAAUUCCA